rnacentral:rRNA from 1 species
GACGAACGCUGGCGGCGUGCUUAACACAUGCAAGUCGAACGGAAAGGCCCUGCUUUUGUGGGUUGCUCGAGUGGCGAACGGGUGAGUAACACGUGAGUAACCUGCCCUUGACUUUGGGAUAACUUCAGGAAACUGGGGCUAAUACCGGAUAGGAGCUCCUGCUGCAUGGUGGGGGUUGGAAAGUUUCGGCGGUUGGGGAUGGACUCGCGGCGUAUCAGCUUGUUGGUGGGGUAGUGGCUUACCAAGGCUUUGACGGGUAGCCGGCCUGGGGGGGUGAGCGGCCACAUUGGGACUGAGAUACGGCCCAGACUCCUACGGGAGGCAGCAGUGGGGAAUAUUGCACAAUGGGCGGAAGCCUGAUGCAGCAACGCCGCGUGCGGGAUGACGGCCUUCGGGUUGUAAACCGCUUUCGCCUGUGACGGAGCGUGAGUGACGGUAAUGGGUAAAGAAGCACCGGCUAACUACGUG